rnacentral:rRNA from 1 species
AUUGAACGCUGGCGGCAUGCCUUACACAUGCAAGUCGAACGGCAGCACGGGAGCAAUCCUGGUGGCGAGUGGCGAACGGGUGAGUAAAGUAUCGGAACGUGCCCAGUCGUGGGGGAUAACGUAGCGAAAGUUACGCUAAUACCGCAUACGAUCUAUGGAUGAAAGCGGGGGAUCGCAAGACCUCGCGCGAUUGGAGCGGCCGAUAUCAGAUUAGGUAGUUGGUGGGGUAAAGGCUCACCAAGCCGACGAUCUGUAGCUGGUCUGAGAGGACGACCAGCCACACUGGGACUGAGACACGGCCCAGACUCCUACGGGAGGCAGCAGUGGGGAAUUUUGGACAAUGGGCGCAAGCCUGAUCCAGCCAUGCCGCGUGCAGGAUGAAGGCCUUCGGGUUGUAAACUGCUUUUGUACGGAACGAAAAGGUUUGACUUAAUACGUUGGACUCAUGACGGUACCGUAAGAAUAAGCACCGGCUAACUACGUGCCAGCCGCCGUAACAC